GCCUUUAGAUUAUUAAUUAUAGGUCGAACCUGCCCAAUGAAAAGUUUUAAUGGCUGCAGUAAUUUAACUGUACUAAGGUAGCAUAAUCAUUUGUCUUUUAAUUGGAGACUGGAAUGAAGGGGUUGACGGAGAAAUAACUGUCUCAUAUAUUAUUUUUGAAUUUGACUUUUAAGUAAAAAGGCUUAAAUGUUAUUGAGGGACGAAAAGACCCCGUCAAGUUUUAUAAACAAUUAGUUUUAUUUUCAUUAAUUAAAUUAAUUUUUAUUUAACUGGGGCGGUUGAAAUAGUUUAUCUUUUUUUGAGUUUAGGUUAAUAAUUAAUUUAAUUUAUAAUUGAUCCAAUAAUUUUGAUUAUAUGAAUAAAUUACUGCGGGGGUAACAGCGUUAUUUUUUCUUAGAGUUCAAAUCGAUGAAAAGGAUUGCGACCUCGAUGUUGGAUUAAUAUUGUCUUUAGGGUGAAUAUGCUUUAAUAGAAAGUCUGUUCGACUUUUAAAUUUUUACA
rnacentral:rRNA from 1 species